rnacentral:rRNA from 1 species
UACGUAGGGUGCAAGCGUUAAUCGGAAUUACUGGGCGUAAAGCGUGCGCAGGCGGUUCGCUAAGACAGAUGUGAAAUCCCCGGGCUCAACCUGGGAAUGGCGAUGGAUACUGGCUCGCUAGAGUGCGGUAGAGGAGAGUGGAAUUCCCGGUGUAGCAGUGAAAUGCGUAGAGAUCGGGAGGAACAUCAGUUGCGAAGGCGGCUCUCUGGACCAGCACUGACACUGAGGCACGAAAGCGUGGGGAGCAAACAGG